rnacentral:rRNA from 1 species
GAUGAACGCUGGCGGCAUGCCUAAUACAUGCAAGUCGAACGAGAGGAAGGAAAGCUUGCUUUUCUGAAUCUAGUGGCGAACGGGUGAGUAACACGUAGGUAACCUGCCCAUGUGCCCGGGAUAACUUCUGGAAACGGAUGCUAAAACCGGAUAGGUAGCAGACAAGCAUUUGACUGCUAUUAAAGUGGCUAAGGCCAUGAACAUGGAUGGACCUGCGGUGCAUUAGCUAGUUGGUGAGGUAACGGCCCACCAAGGCGACGAUGCAUAGCCGGCCUGAGAGGGCGGACGGCCACAUUGGGGCUGAGACACGGCCCAAACUCCUACGGGAGGAAGCAGUAGGGAAUUUUCGUCAAUGGGGGGAACCCUGAACGAGCAAUGCCGCGUGAGUGAGGAAGGUCUUCGGAUCGUAAAGCUCUGUUGUAAGAGAAAAACGACAUUCAUAGGGAAUGAUGAGUGAGUGAUGGUAUCUUACCAGAAAGUCACGGCUAACUACGUGCCAGCAGCCGCCGUAA